rnacentral:lncRNA from 1 species
UAAAGUAACCUAAAUAAAGGGUACAAAUUUUGAAAAGAAAAAAAAAGACUUAAUAACACCAACCAAAUAUAUCAACUUUUGAAAGAUGUCCUCUUAAUACAGCAUGUUCACUCUAUAACCAUCAUCCUAGACUUUGUUCCUACAGGCUAUCACCUUUGGAAAACUGAAUUAAGUUGAAUUUUUGAAAACUUGAUUCUAUGCUAAUGUCACCGCAGAUGUUUGCUACUUAAGUGACCCUAACAAUAAAUGUUUUGGGGGAAAAAAAAAACCACAGCUCUACUCACAAACCUUUUCAGAGCAUAUUGUUAAAAUCGGGGGCAUCUACAGGGAGUGAUUUUUAAAGAGUCUGAAGUGUUUCCAUAGCAUUUCUAUAAUGGAAAUUGCCUUUUCAUGAAACCUCCAGAUACCAAGAUGAUAUUGCUUAAUGGCAUUAGCAUCCUGUGAACUCUGAGUUAUUGUCCAAGUAUCUCCUAUCUGACUCUGAUCCCUCUUCAUUAAACACUACCCUGC